AUUGAACGCUGGCGGCAUGCCUUACACAUGCAAGUCGAACGGCAGCGCGGACUUCGGUCUGGCGGCGAGUGGCGCACGGGUGAGUAAUACAUCGGAACGUACCCUGUUGUGGGGGAUAACUAGUCGAAAGAUUAGCUAAUACCGCAUACGACCUGAGGGUGAAAGUGGGGGACCGGAAACGGCCUCAUGCAGCAGGAGCGGCCGAUGUCUGAUUAGCUAGUUGGUGGGGUAAAGGCCCACCAAGGCGACGAUCAGUAGCUGGUCUGAGAGGACGAUCAGCCACACUGGGACUGAGACACGGCCCAGACUCCUACGGGAGGCAGCAGUGGGGAAUUGUGGACAAUGGGGGCAACCCUGAUCCAGCAAUGCCGCGUGUGUGAAGAAGGCCUUCGGGUUGUAAAGCACUUUUGUCCGGAAAGAAAUCGCGCUGGUUAAUACCUGGCGUGGAUGACGGUACCGGAAGAAUAAGCACCGGCUAACUACGUG
rnacentral:rRNA from 1 species